rnacentral:rRNA from 1 species
UUUGAAGCAACGCGAAGAACCUUACCAAAUCUUGACAUCCUUUGACCGCUCUAGAGAUAGAGUCUUCCCCUUCGGGGGACAAAGUGACAGGUGGUGCAUGGUUGUCGUCAGCUCGUGUCGUGAGAUGUUGGGUUAAGUCCCGCAACGAGCGCAACCCUUAAGCUUAGUUGCCAUCAUUAAGUUGGGCACUUUAGGUUGACUGCCGGUGACAAACCGGAGGAAGGUGGGGAGGACGUCAAAUCAUCAUGCCCCUUAUGAUUUGGGCUACACACGUGCUACAAUGGAUAAUACAAAGGGCAGGGAAUCCGGGAGGCCAAGCAAAUCCCAUAAAAUUAUUCUCAGUUCGGAUUGUAGUCUGCAACUCGACUACAUGAAGCUGGAAUCGCUAGUAAUCGUAGAUCAGCAUGCUACGGUGAAUACGUUCCCGGGUCUUGUACACACCGCCCGUCACACCACGAGAGUUUGUAACACCCGAAGCC